AGUGAACGCUGGCGGUAGGCCUAACACAUGCAAGUCGAACGGCAGCACAGGAGAGCUUGCUCUCUGGGUGGCGAGUGGCGGACGGGUGAGGAAUACAUCGGAAUCUACUUUUUCGUGGGGGAUAACGUAGGGAAACUUACGCUAAUACCGCAUACGACCUACGGGUGAAAGCAGGGGAUCUUCGGACCUUGCGCGAUUGAAUGAGCCGAUGUCGGAUUAGCUAGUUGGCGGGGUAAAGGCCCACCAAGGCGACGAUCCGUAGCUGGUCUGAGAGGAUGAUCAGCCACACUGGAACUGAGACACGGACCAGACACCUACGGGUGGCAGCAGUCGAGAAUUUUUCUCAAUGGGGGAAACCCUGAAGGAGCGACGCCGCGUGGGGGAUGAAUGGCUUCGGCCCGUAAACCCCUGUCAUUUGCGAUCAAACCUUACGACCUAACACGUCGUGAGCUGAUAGUAGCGGAAGAGGAAGGGACGGCUAACUCUGUGCCAGCCGCCGCAGUAAAAC
rnacentral:rRNA from 1 species